GAAGAGCCUGGUGAGGGUUGAGGACAACAGUCACCCAGUCCAGCUACUGGAGUUCAAAUCCUUCUUUAGUGUCCCUCAGAACUUGGUGAAAGUCAUGACGUUGUGUCCAAUUCAGCAUUUGGUGCAUUCUGAAAUCAAGUCACAACGCAGGAGUAGAGAGCUACAUCAUUAAGAACAUCAAAAACCAGAUUGUCCUCGCCUUAAAGGUACGGCACACAUUAAAAUGGUUUCAUAACAUUAAAGGUAGUCAGGAGUCAGCAAUUCAGGAAGUAAACAGCAAUAUCGGGUAAAUUCCGCAACAUUUAAGAGCGUUGAAGCGUGAGGCUAAACCUCUCCGCUGUUUUGGUCCCGUAACUAUCACGUUGUAGCAGAGUGAAGUGCACCCAUGCAAAUGCACAGAUACUGUGGGAGUUAAGUCUUGCAUUGCGCUCAUCUGAAUAUCUGCAGUGCUGCUCGUUGCAACGCUGAGUCUCAGUUUAAAAUGGUGCUAUAUGUACAGUGCCUAGUGAAAGUCUACACACCCCUUGAAAACAUUUAAUCUAAAAAUAGAUUCAAUUAGAA